ACCAGAGUAACUGCUGGUACCUUGACGGUACCUAACCAGAAAGCCACGGCUAACUACGUGCCAGCAGCCGCGGUAAUACGUAGGUGGCAAGCGUUGUCCGGAAUUAUUGGGCGUAAAGCGCGCGCAGGUGGUUCCUUAAGUCUGAUGUGAAAGCCCACGGCUCAACCGUGGAGGGUCAUUGGAAACUGGGGAACUUGAGUGCAGAAGAGGAAAGUGGAAUUCCAAGUGUAGCGGUGAAAUGCGUAAGAUUUGGAGGAACACCAGUGGCGAAGGCGACUUUCUGGUCUGUAACUGACACUGAGGCGCGAAAGCGUGGGGAGCAAACAGGAUUAGAUACCCUGGUAGUCCACGCCGUAAACGAUGAGUGCUAAGUGUUAGAGGGUUUCCG
rnacentral:rRNA from 2 species